GGCUCCUGGGAGGAGCAAGUCGUGGGCCGCCUUUGGGCUCAGCGGAUGGAGGCGCGGGGUGGGGUGGAGUCCUAAGGCGCACAGACUCGAAUUGCAGCUCUGACAAUCACCAUUCUACAAUUUGUCUCUAAGCAUUGACUACCCUAGAUACCUAUGAUUCUACCAAGAUCCCCCAUUGAAUUGCAUUUGUUUUCACUUCCCCUUAGUCUCCUCCAAUCUGUGACAAUUCUUCAGUGUGUCCUUGUCUUUCAAGACUUUAACUUUUGUUAUCUUUUAUCAGUUUUGGAAGUUCCACCAAGAUGCCCAGGGGAUUCACCUUACAGAGCCAGGAAACAGAGGCUCAGGGUUGCUAAGAAACUUGCCCAUGGUCACAUAGCCAGUAGGAAGCCCAGAGGUGCAAGGUGAACCCGGGUAGUCUGGCUCCAAAGAAUGUGAUCUUCAUCACAAAGCUAUACUUUCUCUGUUUGGGCAGUACUGCUACUGGUUAGGCUCUUGAAACCCCUUCGUAAGUUCCUCUCCUGAUUUGUUAAGGUAAGCCAUAUAUUUGUUUCUGUUUGUUUGUUUGUUUUGCUUUUAUUGAGAUAUAAUUGACAUAUUAUAUUAGUUGCAG